CAAUAGCGUAUAUUAAAGUUGUUGCGGUUAAAAAGCUCGUAGUUGGAGUUCUGCCAGGUGCCGCCUGUCCGCCCCAGUGGUGAGUACGUGGCGCGCAUUUGGCCCUUUCAAGGGGAGCGUAUCUGCACUUUAUCGUGUGGUGCGGGAUCCUUGACUUUUACUUUGAGGAAAUAGGAGUGUUCCAAGCAGGCUCUCGUCGUGCACAGCUCAGCAUGGAAUAAUAGCAUUGGACCUCGAUUCUAAGCUGUUGGUUGCCAGAAGCGAGGUAAUGAUGAAGAGGGAUAGUUGGGGGCAUUCGUAUUUAACUGUCAGAGGUGAAAUUCUUGGAUUCGUUAAAGACGGACUACUGCGAAAGCAUCUGCCAUGGAUGUUUUCAUUGA
rnacentral:rRNA from 1 species